CCUACUGGAGGCAGCAGUGGGGAAUAUUGGACAAUGGGCGAAAGCCUGAUCCAGCAAUGCCGCGUGAGUGAUGAAGGCCUUCGGGUCGUAAAGCUCUUUUACCAGGGAUGAUAAUGACAGUACCUGGAGAAUAAGCUCCGGCUAACUCCGUGCCAGCAGCCGCGGUAAUACGGAGGGAGCUAGCGUUGUUCGGAAUUACUGGGCGUAAAGAGUACGUAGGCGGUUAUUCAAGUCAGAGGUGAAAGCCCGGGGCUCAACCCCGGAACUGCCUUUGAAACUAGAUAACUAGAGUCUUGGAGAGGUUAGUGGAAUUCCGAGUGUAGAGGUGAAAUUCGUAGAUAUUCGGAAGAACACCAGUGGCGAAGGCGACUAACUGGACAAGUACUGACGCUGAGGUACGAAAGCGUGGGGAGCAAACAGGAUUAGAUACCCUGGUAGUCCACGCCGUAAACGAUGAUAACUAGUUGUUCGGUCACUUGGUGACUGAGUGACGCAGCUAACGCAUUAAGUUAUCCGCCUGGGGAUACGGUCGCAAGAUUAAAACUUAAAGGAAUUGACGGCUGAGANGCGAGACGACACGAGGAGAG
rnacentral:rRNA from 1 species